CCCAUUAGCUUGCAGAGAAAUGAAAUUCUCAAACUGUCCACAAAUGGAUUUAAUGCACUUUUAGACUUCACUUACCAUAGCAUGGUAUCACUUACCAUAGCAGGAUAAUUUUGAUCUGCAAGUGGUUGAAUCCAUGGAUGUGGUAUCCACAGGUAGUAAAGGGGGCCGACUCCAUGUGCUGUCUCCGGCUUCCCUUCCAGGCUUCUCUCUCCAACUUCUCAGAAAUUGUCCAUGAAGUUUUUGAGGUCCUGAGACUCAGAAGGAGUCCCUCUUUUGUAAUGUAAGUUUCCUUGUAGGUGGACUAGAGCCUUUACCUUUUCUGUAAAGCCAAUCCCUUUUAAUAAGGUGAAAUGGCUUGAAUCAAGCCAGCCUAAUGGCCCUCCGAGAGCAGAAGGCCUCCUCCAGUUUCCGUCUCCCGUUUAAUUCCCCUGGGGCAGACAUGGAGGCCUUUACACAGCUGACUGCUCUAUGCCCUCCUUGGCUCCCCCAUGGCCUCCCGUCUGCCUCCUCAUGAGUGGCUUACAAGCAUGAACUCCUCGGCAGCUUCACCUGCUGCCUGUCUGCCUUCAGCAUCGCUUAUUUCCCCCAGUCCAUGUUCCAAGGAUAGGAAAGUUCCCCAGGCCCCCAGACACCCCACAGAAGCUCUUCCUCAUGUUCUUGAUGGGGCCAAUGCCCUCCACCUGGACACGCUUCCGCUUCCUCCUCUCUCUCCCUAACUCCUUCUCAUCCUGAACUUUUCCUAGGAGGCCUUCCUUGGUAUUCCUGUUCCCUCAGCUAGGUUCAGUGUUGUCUCCUCCUUGCACUUUGCUCCUUAGAGUCCCUCCCAACAUUCCCCAUUCACAGAGCUUAUCCCAUUUUGCAAAACCGCUGAUCGAACUGCCUAUUCUUUCUAAUGGUCUGCCCUUUCCUAGGACGAUGCUUCUCAAAGUGGAGUCCCCCGACUUGUAGCAGCAGGAUCAAUAGGGUAUUUCUUAGGAAUG
rnacentral:lncRNA from 1 species